ACAAGCCUGAGAAACGGCUAGUAGGACUAAGGUCUGCAGCAGGCGCGAAACUUACACAAUGCUAGAUUUUAUAUAACUUAGCGAUGUAGUGAAGAAAAAUAACGAUGUACUUGUAUUUAUACAUACUUGUACAAUUGGAAUGAGACGACUCUAAACCGGUCAGUCGAGUAACAAAUGGAGGGCAAGUCUGGUGCCAGCAGCCGCGGUAAUUCCAGCUCCAUUAGCAUACAUUAAAGUUGUUGCGGUUAAAAAGCUCGUAGUUGAAUGUAGUGUUGGCGUGGGUGUUUGUCAUUCGUUAAGGUUGUCAUCUUAACCGAUACAACUGAGUGAUCAAAGCACACGGCGCCAAUUGUUUCGUCACUUAAUCGAGUGCGAAGCGGGUGGGUCUUUUAACGUUACAUUUAUGUAGCUUAAAUAAUUCACAUGUUUACCUUGAGAAAAUUAGAGUGCUCAGAGCAGGCAGUUGGGGCGUAAAAACCUCUUUAUGCUUGAAUAAUGUUGCAUGGAAUAAUAGAAUACGGCCUCGGUUCUAUUCUGUUGGUCUUAUAGAACAACAAACAAGUAGUUGGAGUUUAACAAAUGCGGGUCUUGUUGCUGUUCGUGUUGUCAAGGGCCUUAAAAUCUUUGUACCGCAACAUCGCAUGACACCAACCGCAUAAACACCUAAUCUACUGAGGCAAUGGUUAAAAGAAAUAGUCGCGGCGGCAUCAGUACUGCAUCGUGAGAG
rnacentral:rRNA from 1 species